rnacentral:lncRNA from 1 species
UAUUUAGAUACCAAUUGCUUUAACAUUUGGCAUCCAUCGUCUCUGUUUACAACUAGAACAAGCUGUGGUCCACAUCUCCGCAUCUCAAUCAGAAUAACCCAUGCUAAAUUUUGGUCCCGCGAGGUUGAUGUUGAAUUUUACAGAAAUUUUUCUGUUUUUUAACUGAAAUACAUUAUUUUGGAAAAACAGAAGCAGACAUUUGAGUCAGUGCUUGGUGGAAUUAGAUACGACUGUCUCUAGGAGACAAGUUUUGAAAAUUUAAGUGUUUAAUUGAUCCUGUGGUCUUUUAUUUUUUAUUGUAUGGUUUAUUUGGUAAAUGUAUAGUCAAAAUAGGUUUG